AUACCAAGCGUUUCUAGUUCAACCUUCAGGGCAAGAGAAGAAUUCGAGCUUACUUUAGGAGGCGAGGGCUUGUGCUUGAAGUGGAGAAAUCACGCCGGAUGGAAAACAUUUGAGUUUUACUUGUCGCGUGACACUCUACAUCCCCUAAAGCAUACAAAUUCACAAAUUGCUUUUUCAUCUUUUGGGGGCAAGAGAAGAAGUAAAGCUUUGUUCGGCUUGUGCUUGAAGAGGAGAAACUGCAUAGAUUAAUGUGUGAAGCUAAACCUCCGACCAUAUUGCAUUUCAAGACUUGGACAUGACUUGAUUUGUUUCAAGUACAAAUUCACAUAUUACUUUUUCAUCCUUUGGGGCAAGAGAAGAAGUAAAGCUUUGUUUGGCUUGUGCUUGAAGAGGAGAAACCGCAUUGGUUGAGGCGUGAAGUUAAUCCUCCGAUUGUAUUGCCUUUUGAGACUCAGACAUGACUUGAUCUAUUUCAAGGUAACUUAUUCUAAAACACAAAUCCCAUCAUAGUAAAUUUUAUCUCUAUAUUGCUUCUCUAGAAAAGCCCCACCUUCAUUCUCUAGUUUAUUAUAAUUGAUUAGAUGAAAAACAUUUGAGUUUUUCUCAUUGCAUAACACUUUACAUCCUUUAAAGCAUAUAAAUUCACAUUACUUUUUAAAAAUAAUCGUCACACAUAUUGCUUUUUUUUUUCUUAAUACAUUUAUUCUAUUCGGAACCAAUUGGUAUGAACUGUUAGUUUGUUUGGACAUGGUGGAAUCGCAUACCAAUCCUCACUCUAGAGUAGUUCUUGAAACAUUUACCUUUGACCUUUGGAAUAACUGACUUUAAAAGGUGGAUAGGGGAGAAUCUUUACUUAAGGGACCUCAACUUUGGUUCUCAUAUCUAUGCACAAAAAUUUCUUUACUGGAUGAGCUUGCUCUUAAUUUAUUAGAGCUUUCAUCCGAUGAUGCCAAAGUAAAGUGCAAGGGUAUAUGAAAGUUAUAUCCACGGGAAUUUGGACAUCGUUGCUCUAACCCUGCUUUGUCCUUUAUACUAUGUGAGAGGAUCCACAAAUAGAUUGCUGAUUUGGAAGUGUGCAGAAAGAGAAAUUUGUAACUAUGAGCCGUCAGACUAGCUGUAUAUUUUCAUUCAUAGACUAAUUAAUAAAUAAAUUCAUUUUAGUAUGAGAAAAUAUAUAUGGCGAUGAAGUAAUUAAUAAUAAAAUAUUAGUAUUUUCCCACACAUUUUUAAGUGAGAAAGGGGCAUCCAAUGGAGAGCUAAUGUAAAUUAUUGCUCAUUAAUAAAAAAAAAUGUCCUUAUUAAAUGGGAUGGGUUUGCGGAUAACGUCUUAGCUCACAGGACCACACCACCCCCAUAAUUUCUUGUAUGAAUACAUUGUCUCUAAUGUAUGUAUCGAUUUUUUUUUGCCAAAGACCUAAGUGCCGAGUACAACAUCAUUUAUUGAAAGACCAAAUAUUAGACAACGUCUAUUAGCGAAAGACCAAUUUGAAAGCAUACUUCUUUCGAUUGCCGAAGGUUGACCAUAGCAUUACUCGGUUCGAAAGUUUCCUCACCCCUACGAGUUCCAAUUGCAAAGAAAUUGUGACUUUUUUCCUUGGGCACGCUUCAUAACUCCUUUCAUGAUGGAACGUUUCUCCAACCUAAUGAAAAGUAGUAUUGCAGAAUACUUUUAAAGUGUUUAAAAAAAUUAAGUUGAUUUCCACAUUCAACCCCCCAUGUAUUACGCUACAUGUUUGUUCAUCUUUUAGGAACCAUGAACACGAGUUUUCCUUAUCUCUUCCAACAAAAUGCUUUCAAGAAGUAUUUGAUAAGUCCCAAUUUACAUUUAUUCAUGUGGAUUAGUUGACUUUAAAAAUUUAGGUAGUCCAUGAUUUUUAUAACAAAAAUAUUAGAUAAGGACAAAUCAAAAUUAUCAUUUUCUUUAUCUAGGACGAGGUUUCCUAGAUGAAAAUUCCGAAUGGAUUAAAUUUUGUAUGAUAUUAAAGGGGACAAAAAUGAUCCCCUUUUCAUAUGUCUUCUAAAAUAUAAUUUUUAAUAUUAAAAUAACAUUAUAAUAUACAAUAAAACCCGUGUUGGAACCGACCCGAGUCACCAACCAUUGGCCCAUAUGGACCUGAAACACGGGCCCAGUCCAGCUUAGAGAGAAAGGCCCAACCCUUUAAAAACGAAAUGAACUAAGCCUGGCCCAUUAAAGCAGGAUAAGCCCAAUAUGCCUAAAUCAUCCCAGCCCGAAUACCAAACCCUAAAGACCUGACCCCGAUCCACUCCGACCCGCAUCCGAUGCGGUACCUAGGCAGAUCCGACUUGCUCUCCUCCCCCUGCCUCUCGCAGCGCUCUAUCGACCUCGCCCCGACGGGGGCGGCCGCGGCGAGUGCCACCGCUCGCAUCGGGCUGGCCACGCACCCAACCCAACAACGUCUUGGCCAGCCCAGGCCGAGGGCCAGUUC